rnacentral:rRNA from 1 species
CUUGAACGCUGGCGGCAGGCCUAACACAUGCAAGUCGAGCGAGCGGCGGACGGGUGAGUAAUGUAUUGGGACCUGCCUGAUGGAGGGGGCUCACUCCUAGAAACGGUAGAUAAUACCGCAUACCAUCCGAUGAACCCAUAUUGGAUUAGCUAGUAGGUGUGGUAACGGCUGACCUAGGCGACGAUCCCUAGCGGGUCUGAGAGGGUGAUCAGCCACACUGGGACUGAGACACGGUCCAGACUCCUACGGGAGGCAGCAGUGGGGAAUAUUGGACAAUGGGCGAAAGCCUGAUCCAGCCAUGCCGCGUGUGUGAAGAAGGUCUUCGGAUUGUAAAGCACUUUAAGUUGGGAGGCGUUACCUGCAGAAGAAGCACCGGCUAACUACGUGCCAGCAGCCGCGGUAAUUC